AUUAGAUGCCUUUUCUUUAGUGUGUUGUCAUAAUCUGUAGAACUGCAUCGUUCGCACAUAACGGGAUACAGAUUGCAAUACAGCUGUCGUGACUUGGAUUACUGAUUUUAGACCUCUUCAUUGGACAAAGUUUGUCAGGAUUCAAUGUCGCCAAAGAUCAAUCUGUCCUUUUUUGCGGGUACUCUGAGGAUGGAAGGGCCAGUUAGGAGGCUGAGCAAAGCCAUUGCUAAAGAUAGCAAAGAAAUGCAUCUCACUCCCAGUGACAUUACUGUGAAGAUGCAGAAGAGGAACACCAAAUUCCAAGACUUGCUGCAGGUACAACAGGAACAAGGGAUAAGAAACUCUGACAAUGUAAUGGUAUGAGGAAGAAGGAAAGAAGGCACUUGCUAGAAGGGCAACAAAUGCUUUCCGGUGUCUAAAGUUUAUGUGCAGAUACAAAUUCUAUAAAGACUAAUGACAAGCUCUCUGAGCAAUAACCUUACACAUAAAAGUUAUGACAGUGCAUUUGUAGACUUUAUUUUCACAGAUUUCACUUCAAAUUUGGUCUUCCAAACUGUACUAGGUAAUUAAAACCAUUUUUUUGUUAGCUGACAGAAGGUUUGAUGGCCUUGCUCUUAAACAUUUCCUUUCAUAUGUUUCCAAUAUUAAUAAAGUUGUUUAUUUAGACA
rnacentral:lncRNA from 1 species